rnacentral:lncRNA from 1 species
UUUUUUUUUUUUUUUUUUUGUCUUGUUGUUGUUGUUGUUGCUAUUUCUUGGGCCGCUCCCGCGGCAUAUCGAGGUUCCCAGGCUAGGGGUCUAAUCAGAGCUGUAGUCGCCGGCCUACGCCAGAGCCACAGCAACGCGGGAUCCGAGCCGCGUCUGCAACCUACACCACAGCUCACGGCAACGCCGGAUCCUUCACCCACUGAGCAAGGGCAGGGACCGAACCCGCAACCUCAUGGUUCCUAGUUGGAUUUGUUAACCACUGCGCCACGACGGGAACUCCUGUUUAGUUAAUUCUUAAUCCAUAGAAUUACCCUUGGUCAUAUCUUGAAUAAUAUUGCCGCUGGUCCUAAAAGGCAGAGUGAAUGAGUCAGUGCAACCCACCCCACUCUUAGGAAAAGAGGCAAAUUUGUCAGAGCAGAUCCAUAAUGUAUCUGUUCUUUUGGGGGCAAGUUUCAUUUUACUCUCAAAUCCAAUGUGAUUUUGAUAUUACUGUGUAAGUCUUGUUAAAAUAUGUAAAUAGGGCACUUGCUAAACUGACUUUAUUUAGUGUUCUUUUAAGUGAUCAUAAAAUUUUAAUGACUAUUAUUACUGAUACUCUAAUAAGUACUUCAAUGAAUUUUUUGAUGGUUAAAUAUAAUUUGUGUGUUACUCCAGAAUCGCAAUGUGGGGAUUUUAAUAUUGAAACAUUACUGUAAAAUAUUCAUACCAUCAGCCUUCCAUGUUGCUAUACCAUAGAAUAAAUGCAUGUUGAUUUGAACUUAAAUCUUUCUGACAUUCAGUGGUGUGGGUAUCACAAAAUCUUAUAAUGCAUCCGUCAUUCUGCUGAGGGAAAGGGACUUGCAUUUUCAGAGUACUUAUAAAUUGAUGUUAAAAACCAUUUUAUUCUAACCAAGAAGGCUCUUGUUUACAGUCCAAUUUUGGACAUAAAUGUGAGUUACUUAAAUAGAGAGAUAACCUUCAUCUUUCAGCAGCAGCGAGUGCUGGGUGAGGUCAAGGCCAAGAGUUUAGUGUUUUUGUUAUCAAAGUGUUAUUGUCUAACUUGAGGACCACAGUAUAUGGUCAUCGCCUCGCGUGCAAACAACUUGGAUUCUUUUGAACUCUGCUCGGUGGUACUACCUUUCCCCACACUGCAAGCCCCUCACACCCCAGAAGUUGCUUUUUUCUUUGGGUUUUUUGGUUGUUUUUUUGUUUUUGUUUUUGUUUUGUCUAGUUGCUGUUGUUGUUUUUAAGGCAGGCCAGCACUUAGCAGGAAAAGUUGCAUCUCCUGUGCCUGUGACCAGCUGGAGGCCAAACAAAGCAGCUCAUGAGACAGCGUUCCUGCUGCUAUUUAUGUAGCCCUCAGACACAGGGCCGGGUUUUUAACAAAAUGAUUGCUUGGGCUUUAGGUCUCACGUCAUGAAGCAUUUUGUUGAUGCUUUAUAAAUAGUGUCACCUAUUUAUAACCUUCAGCCGCUAUUCUUUUCGUGGCAUUCUCAAGUGGCCUUUGGUUUGGUUAACAUCAGCCACUCGUAUGCACUUGUGUUGCUGGAAAAGUUAAAGAGGAAGAAGUGAGCGCUCACCUGCCCAUCGGUGCAGUGUCUGGGGAGUUGUUAGAGGUGGGAAGUUCAGGUACAAUUGGGAUCCUAGAGCAAACACUGUAAACGUGGCAAAGAAAGGAUCGGAUGAAUUUUAUCUCAGGAAGGUAUCACUUGACAGAUGCAGCACAGAUCUUUACUGGAAAAGAUCUACAUACGCUGAGAGUCUUAGAUUCCACUAAAA